CCUGUGCUUACAUAUCUUGUGUCAUGUGAGCGCUCAGGCUCUGAACCCAAGUCCAGAGAUGAGGUUUCUCGUCCACCUUGGCAUUUGUCUAGCUAUUCCAUUUUCCCCAAAUCACAUUCUCUACCUCUCACACUGCAGGUGAAUACAGUGAGCAGCGUGUCAUCCAGAAGUGGUUCCUCCCGUGGCCAAGCUGGCCCCCUCAUCCAGGUUCCCAGCCUUUGGAAGAAAUACAUCACUGUUGUGUAUAAGCUGCUUCGUCCGAGGUACUUUGCUACAGCAGCCCACACGGACUAAGACGGAGGUAGUGCAUGAAAAAAGUCUUAGAAUUUUAGGUUGUGAGAGCCAGAAAAGACUUCAGUGAACAGGCAGUUAAACCCAUUUACCUUCAACCUGAAGAACAGAAGGCCCUCAAAUGAGGCUCCAAUCCAGCUGGCAGUGCCCAUGUGACAAUGAAAUGCAAGCAGAGGUCUGCUGGGGGAAAUUCUGGAAAGACUUUGCUUUCUUCAUAAAAGGCUGGCAUCUUACGCUCCUCAGGUCUUGAAAAUAAAAGUGAAAUCUGGAUAUGAGAGCAACCGUCUUGCAACCAUGGGGUUAUGAAUAUAAAAGCAAAAGCCAGCACCCUAAAAAGAAAAGGAAAGAUCCCUGAGUUCCUGAUAAAAUUUUUAAACAACUGAACCAAGGCCAAUACCUGCUUUCAUACCAGACUUCCCAUUAUGCACAGAACCUAUUCACUCUUAUUUGCAUAAGAAGAGUCAUGCAGGCCAGAGGUAUUUUUGCAAAAUGCGGCACUUCCAUGGGUCACAGCGCCUUGCUGCUCUAUGCUUUUACGGAUCUAUGCUGCAUCUGUCUCACCUCAUCCUCUCCAGGGAUUUCUGUUAUCAUCAGUUUCUUGCAUAUCUUCAGAGGUAUUCUACAGAAUCCAGGGGUUGAACUAUGUCUGAAUAUGACUUCAAUUAUGGGAGUUGAGAAGAGACUACAUCUUGGCUACAAGUAAUUAAUACUCUGUAUUUUGGGGAAAUGAAAAAUGAUGAGCAAGCUGAAGGGUAAUUUAUGUAUAAGAAGAAAGGCAUGUUGCUGGAUCUGGAUCCCAAACCUAGGCAUGUUGCUGGAUCUGGAUCCCAAACCUAGAAGUUACGCAGUUAUCCUACCACGAGCACCAGCAUGAAGACAAGAUCAAGGACGGAUGUACAGAAAGAUUUAGGAAAACUACAUCCCAAAUUGACCCUUGAAUAAUGUAACUGUGCUCACAAAUCAACCAAUAUGGGGUCUGCUUUUCCUCUGGAUGUCAUAUGCUGUGAAAUAAUCUAUGUCCUAGAUGUUUAAGGUUGGUGGAUCUCUGUCUCAGGUUUGGAAGACUGCAGAGAAUUCAGCUCUGCCUUUCAGAGGGGAUCAGCCCAGCUCUCCGGUUCUCCUACUUAAAAUUGCUUCAAAAUAUAGUGACUUCUCUGAAGAUAUCAAGCAAAAUCUUCUGUCCAACUUUAACAUGGAGCUCUAGAAGUCAGGAGAUUUUAUAAACAGUUCUUAACAAGGAUGAAGAAUACAAGAUAUUGAAAUAAGUAUAUGUCAUUUUGGGAUUACUUCUUCAACUUUGAUCAAAUGAAGAAUACAUGAAAUGGAACCAUAGCUGGCAUAGAGUUUCAGCUAAUCAGCAACUCUCACACAACAUGAACAAGAAAUAAGUAUUUAAUGUAGCAAGUCACUGAGCAAGUUGGGGUUGUUUGUUAUUUUAGUUCACUUGAUGAAUAGUGAAACAGAUACUGGAAGUGAGAGGUUUUCUAAACCAAAAGCCAAAAGUGUGUAUCACUUCUUUUAUUGUUGGCUAGAGAAGAAACAAAUCUAGAGAAAGAAUGAACUGUAUUUUCAGCAGUAUUUCAUAAAAUACACAAUGGAUAACUUGGAUGAUAUAUAACGACAUAAUAAAAUUGAGGCUUUACAUGAACAUUUUUUUAAAAAAGAA